GGAGGAGGAGCCUUGAGGAAGAGGGAACCAGAGGCUCAUGACAAAGGAUCCUGGGGAGAGAGAAUCACUGCUGUGAGGAACAAAUUAACUGUUGGAAUGAAUGCUGAGUGAUCUUCAAUGUGAGCACUAAAUCAGUGUCUGACUGUUCAAUGGCUACAGGGGAAGGACCUGCACAAAUAACAAGGGAUUAAUGGCACCACUAAUGUUGUGGGCCUCUUCCCAUGAUCAUGGCUUUAAACGACAGGCUUAGCUGCUCUCGCGCAGUCAGCUUUGCCAGGGUGCUUAUUUCACAUAACAUCUUGAUGAGCAGCAGCGCUGUCUCGAGUUAGAGCAACACGUAUGAAGCCGGGAUCAGUAGCGUGAAGCGGGGAGAGUUCAUUCAUUAUCCAGUGUAUUGAAGUGGGCCUCCAGAGGUGUGCCAAGGACAGGCUCUUCCCAGCUGCGAUGAGGACACAGGCACUGCCUCAUGGCUGGUGUGCAGCCACAGAUAGGUGCUUCCAACCUUGUGAAGGGGAAGGAGAGGUCACGGUGCCUGGAGUGGCUCCUGCCAAUAUGUGCCUGAGAGUGAUGGGGUCUAUGGAGUGCCAGAGGAGAAAGGUCAAAAGCAUCACCUACAUGUUUCCACCUCACUGUGCCUUUGUGGAGAGACCCGUAAGACAGGCAGAUUUUGCUGCUCCAGGUGUUAUUGCUGGAAGAUGGACACAGCUCCAAGCUACCACAGCUUUGAUGCAGGGAGCUCAGGUUGAGAUGCAGACUUACAGAAUAGUUCUGACAACAGCCAUAGAAACACUUUGUGGCUGAAGAGAAAGCUGCUCUGCAGCUGGGUGAGCCCUCGGGAAUGAGAUGAGUGGGGGCAAAUGUCUUUUGUACCGGGGUUUUUCUUGGAAAAGUUUUGCAGUUCCUUCAAGGUGUCUCAAUACACUGUGUGCACCAGGGCAAGUCAAAAGGUUGGAGCCCGGAGCUGUCCUCACCUUGGAGAAAAAUGCCUGGUUCAUGCUGGCACUGUGCAUGUGCGUAUAGACGCCAUCAUUUAAAUCUCAGCCCGCUCCCUAUGCUCCAAAAAUCACAAUGACUUCAGAAAAUACUCAGGGGAUUGGGCUAAAGACCUUGGCUGUGAUCUGAAACUGCAGGGAUCUUGGGCCUUUUUGUAGAUGGAGACAGAAGAAACGAGCAGGAAAAGAAAUACCGUGUUUCUUGCUUUUUGGCAGAUGCUCGGAACACUUCAGCUUGAGAAAUGUUACAUUUAGCUGGCUUCAUGGUAAUUAGCUGUUAUUUUUUAUUUGCUGAAAAGCUGGAAAUGAGUUUUGGCAAAAGGGUCUGGGAGCAUUUUUCUGCUGUUUCUUUUCCUGUACCAUGUUCUUAGUCAAUUAAUUUUAGUCUUUCUGUAUGUUACAGCUAAUAGUACAAUAUUACUAGAAUAACAGUGCUUUCUCUGAUAUCUUUAGUAAUCUAAAAUUAAAAAUUAUUAGAAC